rnacentral:rRNA from 1 species
ACUUAAAUUGAAGAGUUUGAUCAUGGCUCAGAUUGAACGCUGGCGGCAGGCCUAACACAUGCAAGUCGAACGGUAACAGGAAGCAGCUUGCUGCUUCGCUGACGAGUGGCGGACGGG